GGUCACUAAAGGGAAGAAGGGCUAGGAUGACUAAUAUUCCUGGUUCAUCCUAUAAAUAUGGUUCAUCCAGCAUGAGUGGUCCUGAAAAUUCUAAGCCAGAUUAAAGGAAGAUCUUAAGAAUGACAUCUUACGAUGGGGAGAAUAGAAACCUCCCUGAGGAACUGGUACUCUUUGUUCAGAUGGUGAGGAUGCCCAUCCCAAUACCCCUUACUGAUGGUUCUGGAGACAUUUGAAUCAUGAAUUCUGUUUAAGACAGAAAACCUCGAAGUUCCAUCUGUAACAAGACUCGAAAUAAUUACAGCUGAUGAUUGCCUGGUACACUCAGCCAGAAAAACAGAACAGAUUUUGGCCUCCAGCAAUUACAAGCAGCACCCACUUCAGCACAGACAGGACUUUUAAAUGAAUACAUGAAUACAUUGCGGAAGAUCACAAGCAUAAGAGUCUGUUGGAGCAAAAGGGUGAGGGGGAAAAUGAGUUGGCAAAAAGGGAGUAACUUCACCCACUGCAGAAGAAGAGAGAGAUUCCCCUCCCUCCUGCCAACUUAUAACUGUGAAAUAGCAAAAGGAUCUUUAUUUAAUUUCUUCGAGAAGCCCAGAAUUCCAGUGCCUCUCACACCCAAUAGCUUCUUCUCCUUGAUACACCACAGAUGGGAGACUGUGAGGGUCAGUUUGGAUUAGAGUCACGAUUCUGGAAAGGCUUCUUAUUUCUUUUCCAAAAGAUCUUUCUAAAUUCUUACUCUCGAUAGAUUGGUCUAUU